GCAAGCUGUACUUGUACAGCGAAGUGGUUGAUGCCAUGCUUCCAGGAAAAGUCUCUAAGCUUCAGUUACACAGGAAUCGUACCCGAAACCGACACAGGUGGUCAGGUCGAGUAGACCAAGGCGCUUGAGAGAACUCUGCUGAAGGAACUAGGCAAAAUGGUACCGUAACUUCGGGAGAAGGUACGCUGUUGUUGGUGAUGGAACUCGCUUCCUGAGCUGACGACAGCCGCAGAAACCAGGCCGCUGCAACUGUUUAUUAAAAACAUAGCACUCUGCAAACACGAAAGUGGACGUAUAGGGUGUGAUGCCUGCCCGGUGCUGGAAGGUUAAUUGAUGGGGUUAGCGUAAGCGAAGCUCUUGAUCGAAGCCCCAGUAAACGGCGGCCGUAACUAUAACGGUCCUAAGGUAGCGAAAUUCCUUGUCGGGUAAGUUCCGACCUGCACGAAUGGCAUAAUGAUGGCGGCGCUGUCUCCAGCAGAGGCUCAGUGAAAUCGAAAUCGCUGUGAAGAUGCAGUGUACCCGCGGCUAGACGGAAAGACCCCGUGAACCUUUACUGCAGCUUGACACUGAACUUUGACCUUACUUGUGUAGGAUAGGUGGGAGGCUUUGAAGCUGGAACGCUAGUUCCAGUGGAGCCGUCCUUGAAAUACCACCCUGGUAAUGUUGAGGUUCUAACUCUGUCCCGUGAUCCGGGACGAGGACCGUGUCUGGUGGGUAGUUUGACUGGGGCGGUCUCCUCCUAAAGAGUAACGGAGGAGUACGAAGGUGCGCUCAGCGUGGUCGGAAAUCACGCGUAGAGUAUAAAGGCAAAAGCGCGCUUAACUGCGAGACCCACAAGUCGAGCAGGUACGAAAGUAGGUCUUAGUGAUCCGGUGGUUCUGUAUGGAAGGGCCAUCGCUCAACGGAUAAAAGGUACUCUGGGGAUAACAGGCUGAUACCGCCCAAGAGUUCAUAUCGACGGCGGUGUUUGGCACCUCGAUGUCGGCUCAUCUCAUCCUGGGGCUGAAGCAGGUCCCAAGGGUAUGGCUGUUCGCCAUUUAAAGAGGUACGCGAGCUGGGUUUAGAACGUCGUGAGACAGUUCGGUCCCUAUCUACCGUGGGCGCUGGAAAUUUGAGAGGAUCUGCUCCUAGUACGAGAGGACCAGAGUGGACGAACCUCUGGUGUACCGGUUGUGACGCCAGUCGCAUCGCCGGGUAGCUAUGUUCGGAAGGGAUAACCGCUGAAAGCAUCUAAGCGGGAAGCCUACCUCAAGAUAAGAUUUCCCUAGGACUUUAUGUCCUCUAAAGAGCCGUUCGAGACUAGGACGUUGAUAGGUUGGAUGUGGAAGCAUAGUGAUAUGUGAAGCUGACCAAUACUAAUUGCUCGUGAGGCUUGACUAU
rnacentral:rRNA from 1 species